rnacentral:rRNA from 1 species
AAUGAACGUUGGCGGCGUGGAUUAGGCAUGCAAGUCGAGCGCGAACCGUAGCAAUACGGGGAGAGCGGCGAAAGGGAGAGUAAUACGUGGAUACCUGCCCUCGGGUUCGGGGUAGCUACGGGAAACUGUAGGUAAUACCGAAUAACAUCUUCGGAUCAAAGGUGUGAUUCCGCCCGGGGAGGGGUCCGCGUCCUAUUAGCUAGUUGGUGAGGUAACGGCCCACCAAGGCGAAGAUGGGUAUGGGGUGUGAGAGCAUGACCCCACUCACUGGGACUGAGACACGGCCCAGACACCUACGGGUGGCGGCGGUCGAGAAUCUGCGGCAAUGGGGGAAACCCUGACCGAGCGACGCCGCGUGCGAGGUGAAGUCCUUCGGGUUGUAAAUCGCUGUCAGAGGGGAGGAAAUGCCGGGAAGUAAUUCAUAAUCAACUCGGUUUGACCUAGCCUCAGAGGAAGGACGGGCUAAGUUCGUGCCAGCAGCCGCCGUAA